rnacentral:rRNA from 1 species
GAGUAUGUCAGCUACAAGCUCACGCGAUACUGCACAAGAGCAUGAGACUGGUACUGCGAUAAGUCUCGGGGACUGAGCACGCUUUGAUCGCAUC